UACGUAGGGUGCAAGCGUUGUUCGGAAUCAUUGGGCGUAAAGCGCGUGUAGGUGGCUGGUUAAGUCGGGUGUGAAAUCCCUGGGCUCAACCGAGGAAGUGCAUCCGAAACUAAUCAGCUGGAGAGUGGUAGAGGAAGGUGGAAUUCCGUGUGUAGAGGUGAAAUUCGUAGAUAUUCGGAAGAACACCAGUGGCGAAGGCGACUUACUGGACGAUUGUUGACGCUGAGGUGCGAAAGCGUGGGGAGCAAACAGG
rnacentral:rRNA from 1 species